AUAUGAAUCACCUGGGGAUUGUGUUAAAAUGUGGAUUCAGCUUCAUUAGGUCUGGGAAGGGGACACGUAAUUCUGCAAUUCUAACAAGAUCCCAGGUGAUGUCAAU
rnacentral:pre_miRNA from 1 species